AGUAGAGCUAGAAGUGAAACAUAAAGGAUAACCUUUUCUGUGCCUCAGUUGUUUUGUAGCUUCCCAAAACUUUGUGACACUAAAUGACAAACUAAGGUCAAGGUUGGAAAGACUGGUUCAAGUACUGCUGCCACUUCUAGUUUCAGAAGAACCUAAUCAUGUUGAGGGCAGAUACUGCUUCAUUUCUUGUUUUUUAUGCCAAAUCCAGUACAAAGCAUGAAAUAAGGUUGCUGGAAUCAUAUCAGAAACUUAUAGAUCAACAAAAUGGCAACAUAAAAUGGUUGAAAUCCACAAAAUGGGGAAGCCUCCAGCAUCGCUUCCAUCUUUAUCAUGAGUGGACCAUGGAGUACCUAUAAAAAGGGGACAAGAGUAAUAGAGAUUCGACAAGAAAGGGUAAAGUGGUAAUUCUCUGAUCCAGCCUACUGCCUCUAAAAAAGAUCUGACAAAAUCAAUCUUACAGAGAUGUUCAAUAAAUCUAUCAACAAAAUAUUUACUAGCCUAAGU
rnacentral:lncRNA from 1 species